rnacentral:tRNA from 1 species
AAUAUGGUAGGAUAAAGAAAAAGUCUGUGAGAUUCAUAUUUUCGAGGUAAUCCAUAUUU